UGGGGAAUUUUCCGCAAUGGGCGAAAGCCUGACGGAGCAAUACCGCGUGAGGGAUGAAUGCCUAUGGGUUGUAAACCUCUUUUUUCAGGGAGGAACAAAAUGACGUGUACCUGAAGAAUAAGCAUCGGCUAACUCCGUGCCAGCAGCCGCGGUAAGACGGAGGAUGCAAGUGUUAUCCGGAAUCACUGGGCGUAAAGCGUCUGUAGGUGGUCAAAUAAGUCAACUGUUAAAUCUUGAGGCUCAACCUCAAAAUCGCAGUCGAAACUAUUAGACUAGAGUAUAGUAGGGGUAAAGGGAAUUUCCAGUGGAGCGGUGAAAUGCGUAGAGAUUGGAAAGAACACCGAUGGCGAAGGCACUUUACUGGGCUAUUACUAACACUCAGAGACGAAAGCUAGGGUAGCAAAUGGG
rnacentral:rRNA from 1 species